AAUGCAUUGCAUUACACGUUGGGGAGACAGUAGACACGGACCAAAGCCGCAUAAACCCUUGAGAGUAGAGACUGGAACGACGUCCUCCGGGAAAUACCUUCCCAGAGUUAUGCCUUCAAUUGAGGUCUCCAUUUUCUAUCGAUUGUCUCCACAUCUCCAUCUGAGGCACCAUCCGAAUCCAGGCAGAAAUCUCAAGAGUUCUAAAGUAACAGGCGUCUCUCCCGCCGCACCCAAGGGACAUCUUCUCUCCUCUUCUGUACUCGCCAGGUCUCCUUGGAGGAACAACAGCAUGUCUACAUGUGCUGGGAGGAGAUGAGUGGGGAGCCUACUGACCAAAACACCUGCAGCGGAAAAAACCCGCUCAGCAGGGACAGGUGUGGCCGGGAUAGAGAGCCAGGGCUACCGAGGAAACGUGGGAAAACAUCCAGGACUGUGAAGGAGUUUUCCUGGUCUUGAACCAGUGUCUGGCGGUAUUGAAAUGUUGCCCUCAUCUUCUCUUUCGACAAUUGUUGCAUCAGUCGUGUGCUUCAAUAAAGAGAUCGCCUCGCGGCAUUCCUCACCAAACAGUUGCUUGUCAGUUAGGAGACAAUCCCCCUUGCUCUUUGGACCAUCUUGAUAUGUAGUGCUGGUUGAGCAUCUCCGGGACUGAACUACAGAGUUGCGUUGGACUGUCUUUAUCCUCCAUGCCGAAUAGCCAGACCCGUUAUUUGCAUCAUAUUAGUGUUCCUGUAAAAUCCAAAAAGAACAAAGAUAAACAUAACUAAUGGGUCACAGCAUUACAGUGCAAAUUCAGAAUAAC
ensembl:lncRNA